GACGAACGCUGGCGGCGUGCUUAACACAUGCAAGUCGAACGGAAAGGCCCUGCUUUUGUGGGGUGCUCGAGUGGCGAACGGGUGAGUAACACGUGAGUAACCUGCCCUUGACUUUGGGAUAACUUCAGGAAACUGGGGCUAAUACCGGAUAGGAGCUCCUGCUGCAUGGUGGGGGUUGGAAAGUUUCGGCGGUUGGGGAUGGACUCGCGGCUUAUCAGCUUGUUGGUGGGGUAGUGGCUUACCAAGGCUUUGACGGGUAGCCGGCCUGAGAGGGUGACCGGCCACAUGGGGACUGAGAUACGGACCAGACUGCUACGGGAGGCAGCAGUGGGGAAUAUUGCACAGUGGGCGGAAGCCUGAUACAGCAACGCCGCGUGCGGAAUAACGGCCUUCGAGUUGUAAACCGCUUUCGCCUGUGACGAAGCGUGAGUGACGGUAAUGGGUAAAAAAGCACCGGCUAACUACGUG
rnacentral:rRNA from 1 species